ACGGAGGGUGCAAGCGUUAUCCGGAAUCACUGGGUUUAAAGGGUGCGUAGGCGGCGUUAUUAGUCAGAGGUGAAAUCUUGCAGCUUAACUGUAAAAUUGCCUUUGAAACUGUAAUGCUUGAAUCACGUUGAGGUCGGCGGAAUGUGACAUGUAGCGGUGAAAUGCAUAGAUAUGUCAUAGAACACCAAUUGCGUAGGCAGCUGACUAGGCGUGUAUUGACGCUGAGGCACGAAAGCGUGGGUAGCGAACAGG
rnacentral:rRNA from 1 species